UACGAAGGGGGCUAGCGUUGUUCGGAAUUACUGGGCGUAAAGGGCGCGUAGGCGGUGUGUCAAGUCAGGCGUGAAAGCCCCGGGCUCAACCUGGGAACAGCGCUUGAGACUGGCACGCUCGAGUUCGGGAGAGGAUGGUGGAAUUCCCAGUGUAGAGGUGAAAUUCGUAGAUAUUUGGGAAGAACACCGAUGGCGAGGGCAGCCAUCUGGGACCGACACUGACGCUGAGGCGCAAAAGCGUGGGGAGCAAACAGG
rnacentral:rRNA from 1 species